AUGCAGGCAAUAUGGACCCUUGUGUGCCUGAUGGCUGCUCCCCUGGGUGUGCUGUCUGAUCAGACACUUCAGGAGUCAGGACCACAUCUACUGAAGACUGGGGAGACCCUGUCCCUCACCUGCACUGUCACAGAAGGUCAUAUAACAACUAGCUAUGCUUGGACCUGGAUUCGCCACCCUUCUGGGAAAGUUCUACAGUGGAUGGGGUACUGGAUCGGCAGCUCAUACUACAACAAAGCUUUCCAGGGCCGCAUGACAAUCAUUGUCGAUGCAGUCCAGAACCAGUUCUCCUUGCAGCUGAAGUCCUUGACCGAGGAGGACACAGCAGUGUAUUACUGUGCAAGACACAGUGAGAGAACAUCAUUGUGA